AGAGGUUAACUGACUUGCCCAAAUAAGAGCCAAAAUUAGCAACUCACAUUUAAGCAGGGAGUCAGUUUUUAUGUAGUAAGACCAUUAUAUUUUGAUAUCCAGAUAUUAAUUUUCUCAACUUUAAAUGUUUUAAUAUUGUCUUCAUCAGGCCUGCUGAGCAUUGUCAUUUUAAAAUUGAGAAUAUUUGAUAAAUUGAUGAAAGAAAAAUUAUGAAGUCAUAGACAUUAGAAUCAAGUCUCUUGGCAUUAUUUCUAGUUGGUAUAUCUUUUAUGCUAAAAAUAUUCAAUAUUCAGUUGCUGGUCACAAAUAAUUUCUCCCCCACAAUAGGUAUUGUCUUCUAAGAACUCUGAAGCAAUGUCAGACAUUGAGGGAAGCUCUCAUUGCUGCAGGAAAAGAGAUUAUAUGGCAUGGGCGGACAAAAGAAGAACCAGCUCAUUACUGUAGCAUUUGUGAAGUGGAGGUUUUUGAUCUGCUUUUUGUCACUAAUGAGAGUAAUUCACGAAAGACCUACAUAGUACAUUGCCAAGAUUGUGCACGAAAAACAAGCGGAAACUUGGAAAACUUUGUGGUGCUAGAACAGUACAAAAUGGAGGACCUGAUGCAAGUCUAUGACCAAUUUACAUUAGCUCCUCCAUUACCAUCCGCCUCAUCUUGAUAUUGUUCCAUGGACAUUAAUUGAGACCUUUUCUGCUAUUCAGGAAAUAACCCAGUUCUGCACCACUGGUUUUUGUAGCUAUCUCGUAAGGCUGCUGGCUGAAAACUGUGUCUAUGCAACCUUCCAAGUGCGGAGUGUCAACCAACUGGACGGGAGAGAGUACUGCUCCUACUCCAGGACUCUCACAAAGCUGAUGAGCUGUACUUCAGAAAAAAAUAAUAAUUUCCAUGUUUUGUAUAUAUCUGACAAAACUGGCAACAUCUUACAGACUACUGACUUGAAGACAACCUCUUUUAUAUUUCUCUAUUUCUGGGCUGAUGAAUUUGUUUUCAUCUGUCUUUUCCCCCUUCAGAAUUUUCCUUGGAAAAAAAAUACUAGCCUAGCUGGUCAUUUCUUUGUAAGGUAGUUAGCAAUUUUAAGUCUUUCUUUGGUCAACUUUUUUUUAAUGUGAAAAGUUAGGUAAGACACUUUUUUACUGCUUUUAUGUUUUUCUGUCUUGUUUUGAGACCAUGAUGGUUACACUUUUGGUUCCUAAAUAAAAUUUAAAAAAUUAACAGCCAAGUCACAAAGGUAAUGGAUUGCACAUAGACUAAGGAAUAAACUUCAGAUUUGUGAUUUUUGUUUCUAAUCUUGAUGUAAAUUUACACUAUUUAUAAAUACAUAUUUAUUGCUUGAAAAUAUUUGUGAAUGGAAUGCUGUUAUUUUUUCCAGAUUUACCUGCCAUUGAAAUUUUAAGGAGUUCUGUAAUUUCAAACACUACUCCUAUUACAUUUUCUAUGUGUAAAUAAAACUGCUUAGCAUUGUACAGAAACUUUUAUUAAAAUUGUUUAAUGUUUAAA